AUUGAACGCUGGCGGCAGGCCUAACACAUGCAAGUCGAGCGAGCGGCGGACGGGUGAGUAAUGUAUGGGGACUGCCCGAUAGAGGGGGAUAACUACUGGAAACGGUAGCUAAUACCGCAUACUAUCGGAUAACCCAUAUGGGAUUAGCUAGUAGGGGAGGUAAUGGCCCACCUAGGCGACGAUCCCUAGUUGGUCUGAGAGGAUGAUCAGCCACACUGGAACUGAGACACGGCCCAGACGCCUACGGAGGCAGCAGUGGGGAAUAUUGCACAAUGGGCGAAAGCCUGAUGCAGCCAUGCCGCGUGUAUGAAGAAGGCCCUAGGGUUGUAAAGUACUUUAAGUCGGGAGGCGUUACCGACAGAAGAAGCACCGGCUAACUCCGUGCCAGCAGCCGCGGUAAUUC
rnacentral:rRNA from 1 species